rnacentral:rRNA from 1 species
AACGAACGCUGGCGGCAGGCUUAACACAUGCAAGUCGAACGCCCCGCAAGGGGAGUGGCGCACGGGUGAGUAACGCGUGGGAAUCAACCUUCUGGUACGGGACAACCUCGGGAAACUGAGGCUAAUACCGUAUAUCUCCUCAGGGAGAAAGAUUUAUCGCCAGAAGACGAGCCCGCGUCCGAUUAGCUAGUUGGUAGGGUAAUGGCCUACCAAGGCGACGAUCGGUAGCUGGUCUGAGAGGACGAUCAGCCACACUGGGACUGAGACACGGCCCAGACUCCUACGGGAGGCAGCAGUGGGGAAUAUUGGGCAAUGGGCGCAAGCCUGACCCAGCCAUGCCGCGUGAGUGACGAAGGCCUUAGGGUUGUAAAGCUCUUUCGGCGGGGACGAUGAUGACGGUACCCGCAGAAGAAGCCCCGGCUAACUUCGUG